UGCCCUACAGUUCCCCGUUCGGGAACAAGGAGCUGGUAUCAGGCACAACCCCCUUGAGCCCAUGACACCUUGCUUAGCCACACCCUCAAGGGAACUCAGCAGUGAUAAACAUUAAGCCAUAAGUGAAAACUUGACUUAGUUAAAGCUAAGAGGGCCGGUAAAACUCGUGCCAGCCACCGCGGUUAUACGAGGGGCCCAAGUUGACAAACACCGGCGUAAAGAGUGGUUAGGCUAAAACCCAUACUAAAGCCGAACGUCUUCAAGACUGUUAUACGCAACCGAAGAUAGGAAGUUCAACCACGAAGGUGGCUUUAUCUGAGCUGAGCCCACGAAAGCUAAGGAACAAACUGGGAUUAGAUACCCCACUAUGCCUAGCCCUAAACAUUGAUAGUACUAUACACCCACUAUCCGCCCGGGAACUACGAGCAAUAGCUUAAAACCCAAAGGACUUGGCGGUGCUUUAGAUCCACCUAGAGGAGCCUGUUCUAGAACCGAUAACCCCCGUUCAACCUCACCCUUCCUUGUUUACCCCGCCUAUAUACCGCCGUCGUCAGCUUACCCUGUGAGGGGUUUAUAGUAAGCAAAACUGGUACAACCUAAAACGUCAGGUCGAGGUGUAGCGUAUGGAGGGGGAAGAAAUGGGCUACAUUCGCUAUUACAGCGAACACGAAUGAUGUACUGAAACGUACAUUUGAAGGAGGAUUUAGCAGUAAGCAG
rnacentral:rRNA from 1 species